AUUGAACGCUGGCGGCAUGCUUUACACAUGCAAGUCGAACGGCAGCGCGGGCUUCGGCCUGGCGGCGAGUGGCGAACGGGUGAGUAAUACAUCGGAACGUGCCCAGUAGUGGGGGAUAGCUCGGCGAAAGCCGGAUUAAUACCGCAUACGACCUGAGGGUGAAAGCGGGGGAUCUUCGGACCUCGCGCUAUUGGAGCGGCCGAUGGCAGAUUAGCUAGCUGGUGGGGUAAAGGCCUACCAAGGCGACGAUCUGUAGCUGGUCUGAGAGGACGACCAGCCACACUGGGACUGAGACACGGCCCAGACUCCGACGGGAGGCAGCAGUGGGGAAUUUUGGACAAUGGGCGAAAGCCUGAUCCAGCAAUGCCGCGUGUGUGAUGAAGGCCUUCGGGUUGUAAAGCACUUUUGGCGGGAACGAAAAGGACUGUGCCAAUACCACGGUUCGAUGACGGUACCCGCAGAAUAAGCACCGGCUAACUACGUG
rnacentral:rRNA from 1 species